CAGAGUUGCAAAACUCCCACAAACCAUCGCGAACGUUACCACACAUAAGUUGCUUCGGCGCUGCGUCCGAGCCCUCCCCGGGUCACACCGGGGCCCGCCGCGGAGCUGCCGCCGUCCUAACAAACUCUUAUCUUAUAAGUCUACUCUGAGUACUACUUUAAUAAGUCA
rnacentral:misc_RNA from 1 species